UCUUUGGUUGGUACUUGUAUUUGGUUUCAGGUGUAGUGAUGGAAGAUGAGAUAAUGUAUGAUGCAUCCGAUGAUGAUCAACAACCAUGUUCUGAGCCCCAGAUUAUUGAUGAAGCUGCUAGGAAGAAAAAACUGAGCAAGCCAAGAGGUCCUACAAAAGGGCUAUGUUCCAAACUCGGGGUCCAAAGAGUUCUUUAGUGGGAUGAAUUGAUACGCAUGAUGGAGGAGAGUUGGGAUGAUGUUCCAGAAGGCAUAAAAAAGACUUUAUGAGAAGAUGUUAAAAGAGAGUUUGGAACACAAGAGGAUGUGAGGAAGAAACGAGAUGUCUUGACUACUUGUGAUAAGCGGUGGAGAGAUUUCAAGUCAAGAUUGGUGAGUAGAUGGAUCACAAAAACCUGGAAGGGGCCUAACAAUGAUACGCAACCGUACGUGCUCUAUCCUUUCAUCAUGCAAGAGAUCUGGGACCAAUUUAUGACAAAGUGUUGCUCUAAGCAGUUUAAGGCUAAAAGUGAAAGAGCAAGAAAGUCUCAUGCUGUCAGCAAGCAUCCUCAUUUUUUGGGUCAAAAGUCAUAUGCGGAGAUGAUUCCCGUUUGGAAACGAAAAGUGUAUAUCCCUUCAUCCUCUACAUCAUCAUCUGUUGAAUCCUCUACAUCAUUAAUGAUUUCCUCAUUGAAGGAUCGAACUGCCAUGCCUUCUCGUGAGAUCCCAAAAAGAUAAGGAAGGAUAUAUUUUCUUCCCUAAUGAAGAAACACAAAAGAUAAAAGAGUCCAUUGUAAGCAUUCUUUAAAUUUUAUGAUAUUUUCUUGUUUAAUUACUCGUAUUCUACUAAUCAUAUGAUUUAGUUGGGCGCAUUAUGAUUGGAAAAGGAAUGAAAAGGAAGGAGAGUUAGUUCCAGAUCGGAUAAAUGAUGCUUUAUCACGUGCUCUAUAGAGGAAAGACCGUCCUAGGCGUGUGUUUACAGCUGGGCGUAGCAUUGGGAUUAGAUCUAUUUGAGGAGAUCCUAAUCGGAGUAUUACUACUCGAGAGGGUAGGGGCAUGGAUGAUUAGGAGAUGCAGGAGUUUGAGGUUAGAGUGAACCGAAGAGUUAGAGAACAGACGAUGGAAGAGAUUAACUCGAAGAUAGAUGCAUUAGUUUAAGAAAGGUUCAUGGCUUUUGCGGCUCAAUUAGGUCUUCAAGUACCAAAUCAAACAAGGGAAGAUGCACUGGUCUGAAGUCCCUACACUCUAGGUGCUCCUAGUAGUUGUCAUUUGGGGGGCAA